rnacentral:rRNA from 1 species
GAUGAACGCUGGCGGCGUGCCUAAUACAUGCAAGUCGAGCGAACGGACGAGAAGCUUGCUUCUCUGAUGUUAGCGGCGGACGGGUGAGUAACACGUGGAUAACCUACCUAUAAGACUGGGAUAACUUCGGGAAACCGGAGCUAAUACCGGAUAAUAUUUUGAACCGCAUGGUUCAAAAGUGAAAGACGGUCUUGCUGUCACUUAUAGAUGGAUCCGCGCUGCAUUAGCUAGUUGGUAAGGUAACGGCUUACCAAGGCAACGAUGCAUAGCCGACCUGAGAGGGUGAUCGGCCACACUGGAACUGAGACACGGUCCAGACUCCUACGGGAGGCAGCAGUAGGGAAUCUUCCGCAAUGGGCGAAAGCCUGACGGAGCAACGCCGCGUGAGUGAUGAAGGUCUUCGGAUCGUAAAACUCUGUUAUUAGGGAAGAACAUAUGUGUAAGUAACUGUGCACAUCUUGACGGUACCUAAUCAGAAAGCCACGGCUAACUACGUGCCAGCAGCCGCGGUAAUACGUAGGUGGCAAGCGUUAUCCGGAAUUAUUGGGCGUAAAGCGCGCGUAGGCGGUUUUUUAAGUCUGAUGUGAAAGCCCACGGCUCAACCGUGGAGGGUCAUUGGAAACUGGAAAACUUGAGUGCAGAAGAGGAAAGUGGAAUUCCAUGUGUAGCGGUGAAAUGCGCAGAGAUAUGGAGGAACACCAGUGGCGAAGGCGACUUUCUGGUCUGUAACUGACGCUGAUGUGCGAAAGCGUGGGGAUCAAACAGGAUUAGAUACCCUGGUAGUCCACGCCGUAAACGAUGAGUGCUAAGUGUUAGGGGGUUUCCGCCCCUUAGUGCUGCAGCUAACGCAUUAAGCACUCCGCCUGGGGAGUACGACCGCAAGGUUGAAACUCAAAGGAAUUGACGGGGACCCGCACAAGCGGUGGAGCAUGUGGUUUAAUUCGAAGCAACGCGAAGAACCUUACCAAAUCUUGACAUCCUUUGACAACUCUAGAGAUAGAGCCUUCCCCUUCGGGGGACAAAGUGACAGGUGGUGCAUGGUUGUCGUCAGCUCAUGUCGUGAGAUGUUGGGUUAAGUCCCGCAACGAGCGCAACCCUUAAGCUUAGUUGCCAUCAUUAAGUUGGGCACUCUAAGUUGACUGCCGGUGACAAACCGGAGGAAGGUGGGGAUGACGUCAAAUCAUCAUGCCCCUUAUGAUUUGGGCUACACACGUGCUACAAUGGACAAUACAAAGGGCAGCGAAACCGCGAGGUCAAGCAAAUCCCAUAAAGUUGUUCUCAGUUCGGAUUGUAGUCUGCAACUCGACUACAUGAAGCUGGAAUCGCUAGUAAUCGUAGAUCAGCAUGCUACGGUGAAUACGUUCCCGGGUCU